UUGCUUCGGCAGCAAAUAUACUAAAUUGGAACGAUACAGAGAUUAGCAUGGCCCCUGCGCAAGAACAACAUACAAAUUCAUGAAGCGUUCCAUAUUUUU
ensembl:snRNA U6 U6 spliceosomal RNA